rnacentral:sRNA from 1 species
UUUAGUAGCGACACCGGGGUUCAGGUCCCCAA